rnacentral:lncRNA from 1 species
UAUAUAGAGUCGAGCUGGAAUACUAUCGGUAGCAAGCCGGCUCCGUUGCCACCUAUUUGUUUUCGAUGAUGGAGCCUCCAAAUCGACGAUCGACACCGUUGAACAUGAUCUAUACCGCUUAAAGUAUCUAGAAAUCAAAUUUCAUGCUUUUUCGAUAUUAUUCUCUUGUCCAUCAGGUGGGCGCAAAAAUGAACGGCUGAAAAUGAAUAUCCUCUAAAAAGUGAUGAUAGGAAUUUUAUAAUCAAGAUCAAAAGUAUAGAUCUUGUUUUAAAUAGUUUAAAGAAUUUUCUAACCAAAAUUCAAUUGAUUUGGAUAGCUUUACACCGUUAAACGUGAAAACACCUCAUAUCUACCAUUAAAAUUAUAAAUUUUGAGUCAAUGAUAUCGAAAAGAUUUGAAAUUUGGUUUCUAAAUACUUCAAGUGGUAUAAAUCAUAUUCAACGGUGCCGAUCGUCGAUUCGGAGGCCCAUCAUCGAAAACAAAUGGGUGGCAACGGAGCCCGUUUGCUACCGAUAGCAUUCCAGCUCAACUAUAUAUAUAUAUAUAUAUAUAUAUAUAUAUAGUAGAGCUACUAUGCUAUCGGAAGCAUAAAGUAGUUGGUGCUUCCGAUUUUUUAGUCCUUAGAUCAACCCCAUUGAUCAUUUCUAACCAUUGGAUUAAUAUUAUUAACCAAUGGGGACCACU